rnacentral:rRNA from 1 species
UACAGAGGUCUCGAGCGUUGUUCGGAAUCACUGGGCGUAAAGCGCGCGUAGGCGGCGACACAAGUCAGAGGUGAAAUCCCAGAGCUUAACUCUGGAACUGCCUUUGAAACUGUGUUGCUAGAGUACUGGAGGGGAGUGGGGAAUUCCUAAUGUAGAGGUGAAAUUCGUAGAUAUUAGGAGGAACACCGGUGGCGAAGGCGCCACUCUGGACAGUAACUGACGCUGAGGCGCGAAAGCGUGGGGAUCAAACAGG